GGACGAUUAGCUCAGCGGCAGAGCACUGCAUUCACAUUGCAGGGGCCGCAGGUUCAAAUCCUGCAUCGUCCACCA
rnacentral:tRNA from 2 species